CCUACGGGUGACAGCAGUGAGGAAUAUUGGUCAAUGGGCGAGAGCCUGAACCAGCCAAGUCGCGUGAAGGAUGACGGCCCUACGGGUUGUAAACUUCUUUUGUCAGGGCGCAAUUGGGUCCACGCGUGGGCUUAGCGAGAGUACCUGAAGAAACAGCAUCGGCUAACUCCGUGCCAGCAGCCGCGGUAAUACGGCGGGUGCGAGCGUUAUCCGGAUUUAUUGGGUUUAAAGGGUGCGUAGGCGGCCUUUUAAGUCAGCGGUGAAAGUCUGUGGCUCAACCAUAGAAUUGCCGUUGAAACUGGGAGGCUUGAGUAUGUUUGAGGCAGGCGGAAUGCGUGGUGUAGCGGUGAAAUGCUUAGAUAGCACGAAGAACUCCGAUUGCGAAGGCAGCUUACUAAACUGCCACUGACAUUGAUGCUCGAAAGUGUGGGUAUCAAACAGGAUUAGAUACCCCAGUAGUC
rnacentral:rRNA from 1 species